AAAAAGACGCCUUAUAGUCGUGAAAAUACGGUAUGUGCGGUGUUCUGAUGCUUGUAUAAACAAAAAUCUCUUUUAGGUGCAGUGGAACAAAAAUCUACUCAAGUGACCAACAGAAGAGAUGGCCAGAAGGAUUUUUUCCACCCUGAUAUUCAGAACAAUAUCUACCAUGUUGGGGAUAACUGUUUGGGAAACCCUCUGAGCCAUCCAGGUCUGACAGCUGCCAGAGCUUCACCACAGCUGUCUUACUGCAAACCUGAAGGAUGUGCUGCUGAUGUGGUCACAGUGUUUUUUGAUGACCAACUCAUUCCGCAUGGCUCAAUCCCAGACUGCUCAGGACCUCCUCUUCUUAAUACAGUGUGCCAAUUUCAUGGCCGUGCAUUUGUUUCCAGCAGAAAGGGGAGCACCUGUGAAUUUGAGGAGGAUAGUUACUAUAUCGCUACAAAAAAAUGCUCAGGUAUUUCUGAUUUAAAGUAUAUUGGCUGCAUUGACAAACAUCAGUUUUUAUUUGACAACUACAGGGAAGUCUGAGUGGAACACUCACAAACUUUCCUGUCGUUUUUGUCAGAACCGACGGACUCAGUAUUCAGGGAAGACAGACAGUGGGAAAACUCAAAAAGCCUUUAUUAAAAUCUGUCGGUUCAGAGUAGUAGUGGCUAGGGCAUCUAUCACAGGAAACUCUGCAGAAAGGAAAUGGCUUAGUGACAAUGUAAAUCUAAUGGAUAAAGACUAUGUAUGUAGGAUCCAGCUGGUGGGCUGCCAACAAGAUGCAGCAGGCGCCACCUACAGUGUCCCAGAUGCUGCAAUCCAGGAGAACUGCACGGAGAACUGCCAGGAGAACGGCUUAAAGUCGGUCUGAUCAAAAAAUUGCCCAAAAAGGGCAAAAAAUCGUACAGUGUAUGCCCGGCCUAAGGUACAAUAAAAACACUCACCACAGGCUGGAGAGAAAUAAUGUGGCUCUGAUGACAGGUAAUGAGAACCCGGGAAGAAUUGGACAGGUGAAUGAAAUGAGCAAUUAAGCCAGUCAUCUGCACCAAGAUCAUGACAGUUUUUCAAGUUAGUGGUAUUUUCUGAUGUCCUCCAGUCUUUAGUCUUUAGUGUUCUGCAUUUGCAUAGUUUGUAAUGACAAUUACUAAGUGAUAAUAGUAGAAUAAUAAUGGUAAAUUAAAUAAAAUAAUCAUAACUUUUAUUUAACCAGGUAUUUUUUCCACACAGAUCUGGUCAAACAAAGCUUUGAGAUCAUGGAAUUGAAAUGAACCAUAUACACUCACUUUGUGUCCUGUUUUUUUUUUUUUUUUUUGCAAUAACAGUUUCAGCCUUUUAGAAAUGUACCACCAGAGGUGACAUCUUCUGACUAAAUUUCUUUUGCAGUUCUUAUUUGCAAAAUAAUUCAAGCUCAUUCAGUUUUGACAAGGAGAAAAUAUUUUAAGUCUUGCCACAGAUUAUUCUUCUGAAAGAUAGUCAGUAAUUUGACUGGACCAUUCUAUCAUAUAGUGCUCUAUUGCAGAUAAACCAUUUCAUGUAGCUCUGGCAGUUUUUUAAGUUUUCUUGCCUUGCUGCAAAGAAAACCUCAGUCUCAAGUAUUUUUGUAGCAAUGUUUUCUUCUUGGAUUAUCUUGUGUUUUUGAUCAUCCAUCUUUCCAUUAUUCUUGACAUGUCCCUGUUAAAGAGAACCCUUCCCACAGCAUGAUGCUGCCACCAACAGUGUGGAUGUUUCGUUUAGACCUUGACCCAAUCUGCCGUCAGAUUUAUGCUGCUACUUCCCCACCAACAACCCAUCCAGACAGUGGCAAGGAAGUGACAAGCCUCAGUCCAGGAUACAUUGCCAUAAUAACCAUCGUGCAGGUUUCAUCUGCUGAAUCAGCUCUGCCCUCUCUGCUUCUAUGCAACCACUCUGCUGGUCACUCUUUCUAGUACUUUUCUACCUUUUUGAACCAAACACAUGGCAGUGUGUUAAUUAGACACCACAUUAAACCAACCCAAAGCUGAACUGAGGCUUCAAGAAACAUAAGGGGGGAAAAAAAGACGGUGUUGUUGCACUUCUGUGAGGAUUUGGGCUAAUUCAUUACUGUUCAACCCUGAUGGUUACCAACUCAGUGAAAAUCAAGUGACACCUCUUGGCCAGGAUCUGUCUUCCACCAAACCAACAUAAAAAAUUUAUUUUUGGCUUUUUUUAUGUGUAUGAAUUGAUCUAAACCUGAAUUAAAUUUGCCUAAGUAAUUUUUAUCACUCUGACUAUUGGCAAAUUGAAAUAUUUUAGUUAUCCAAAUUUACCAAAAUCUGGAUAUUUUUUUAUUUGGGUUUAAAGUCGGUGAGUUUAAAAAGCUAUGUGUAGUGUAUGUAAAUGUCUGGUUUUAACUGUGGGUACUUAAAAAUAUGAAUUUAUAGACUGCUAAGUUAUUAAAACAAAACAUUAAAAGGGUCAAGAGUGUCCUGAUUGCAUUUUUAUAGGAAAAAUGUAUUUCUUAGAGUUCCACACUUCCAUACCACCAACAGAUCCAAAAUAUUUUUAUAAGACAUGCGAGUGUCUUCUGACAGGAGUCAGUACAAACAAUUUGAAGAGACUUUGCUAGGAUUUUAACAAGAACUUGUAGAAAGAGCUAAAGAUUAGAGUGAUGUGCAAGAAACCACCAAUGAUCAUUAUAAAAAGAUUAAAAUAAGAUGAUGAGCAGUUAUAAAAGGGGUCUACUGUAAUUUCAAUAUAGUGAUAUAUAUAGUGUAGUAUUAUUUAACUGCUUAUUAAGAUGAAUUAUAGCUAAUUUUAAUUGAUCUUACAUUGGAGAAAUUCACUUCUGCAUCUUAACCCUUCCCUUGAGGGAGCAGUGGGCUACCACUGUGAGGCGCCUGGGGAGCAGCGUGGCAUUAAGGGUCUUGCACAGGGACCAAGACUGCAGGCUGUGGGGAUCAAACUGGUUCCUUGCAACCUUCUCAAAAUAAUACCCCACCCUCAUUUGAAUGAAAUAUUCAUAAAAAUUACAUUUAUUUUCAGCACUCAGAUUUGUCUCGUAGCUUGCAACCUUUUGGUCUCAUUUAGCUACCAAUUAAAGUUUUUGAUUGAAUCAAAAGUUUGUAAAUGUUUGCCAGGAGUAAUGACCGCAGUGGCUGCGGAGUGGCCUUGCAGCAAGAAGGUUCUGGGUUCGAUUCCUGGC